CCUACGGGUGGCAGCAGUGAGGAAUAUUGGUCAAUGGGCGCGAGCCUGAACCAGCCAAGUAGCGUGAAGGAUGACUGCCCUACGGGUUGUAAACUUCUUUUAUAAAGGAAUAAAGUGAGGAACGUGUGCGCUUUUGUAUGUACUUUAUGAAUAAGGACCGGCUAACUCCGUGCCAGCAACCUCGGUAAUACGGAGGAUCCGAGCGUUAUCCGGUUUUAUUGGGUUUAAAGGGAGCGUAGGUGGGUUGUUAAGUCAGUUGUGAAAGUUUGGGGGUCAACCGUAAAAUUGCAAUUGAUACUGGCAGCCUUGAGUACGGUUGAGGUAGGCGGAAUUCGUGGUGUAGCGGUGAAAUGCUUAGAUAUCACGAAGAACUCCGAUUGCGAAGGCAGCUUACUAAACUGCCACUGACAUUGAUGCUCGAAAGUGUGGGUAUCAAACAGGAUUAGAUACCCCAGUAGUC
rnacentral:rRNA from 1 species